rnacentral:rRNA from 1 species
GACAGAGGGUGCAAACGUUGUUCGGAAUUACUGGGCGUAAAGCGUGUGUAGGCGGCCACGUAAGUCGGAUGUGAAAGCCCCCAGGCUCAACCUGGGAAGUGCACUCGAUACUGCGUGGCUUGAGUAUCGGAGAGGUUGGUGGAAUUCUCGGUGUAGAGGUGAAAUUCGUAGAUAUCGAGAGGAACACCGGUGGCGAAGGCGGCUCGCUGGGCCGGUCCUGACGCUGAGACGCGAAGGCGUGGGGAGCGAACGGG